ACGGAAGGCAGCAGUGAGGAAUAUUGGUCAAUGGGCGAGAGCCUGAACCAGCCAAGUAGCGUGAGGGACGACGGCCCUACGGGUCGUAAACCUCUUUUGUUCGGGAAUAAAGGAGCCUACGCGUAGGCUUUUGCAUGUACCGUUCGAAUAAGCAUCGGCUAAUUCCGUGCCAGCAGCCGCGGUAAUACGGAAGAUGCGAGCGUUAUCCGGAUUUAUUGGGUUUAAAGGGAGCGUAGGCGGUCCUUUAAGUCAGCGGUCAAAUGUCGGGGCCCACCCCCGGCCUGCCGUUGAUACUGGAGGACUUGAAUACACACAAGGAAGGUGGAAUUCGUGGUGUAGCGGUGAAAUGCUUAGAUAUGACGAAGAACUCCGAUUGCGAAGGCAGCCUUCUGGAGUGCGAUUGACGCUGAGGCUCGAAAGCGCGGGUAUCAAACAGGAUUAGAUACCCUGUA
rnacentral:rRNA from 1 species